rnacentral:rRNA from 1 species
AUGAAAUGUCACAAACCGAUGUUUCAAAAUAAAGAAUGUGAUGCCAGUGUUGGUUCUAUUUCUAAAGCGUUUGUCCCCACUGGCAUGCUCAACUCAGACAGUGCUGACGUUGUUUUAUAUUCUCUACGUCAGAAGUACCGAGACACUGACAAGUUGAUAGUUCCCAGAUGGGUGACGAGCAAGAUCCGUGAUGGAAAUAUUGAUUCCAAUGUGCUAAAUUGGUUCACGAGAUCAGGUGAGUGGCUGGAUCUUGCUGAGCACGACUACAGGUUCUUUGGCAGCCAGUUCUCGGAGCUCCAGCGCAUAGCUAUUGAUCUUAGCCAGGGGCGUUCUCCCGAAAAGACAAGAUCUGGUGUUAUGAAGGGGUGGUUGGGAGCUCUGAGAGGUUCUACGGCUGCUUGUGUAGAGAGCCCUACUACACCCAAGAUUCCCAUUGUGGAAUUGAUAGACAGCGAUGAUGAUGUGUUUGACAAGAUUGUUGGCAUGGGAAGAGUCACGAGGAGCGCUGGUGCCAAAGGUUUAUCUCCCCUUGCUGGAAUAGUGGCUCGUAGAGCUGGUGGUGCUAGGAAAGAUCCUGCUUUGGAUUCUGGUAAUGUUGUAAGCGUGAAGCGUGCACCCAGAGCUCCUAUAAAGUUUUGCUCCCCUGUGCAGCAGCUUCACCCUCAUAAAUUUCCUCACCUGGACAAGGCUCGCAGGUUGUAUAAUCUGUUGCUUAGUGAUGAAUGGUGUGAGAAGUAUGCCGAGAAUACAUUCUCAAUGAUACCUCAGCCUGAUGAAAGCGUAACUAGCUUCACUAGGAAUCGCAUCUGGGAAAUUUUUUCACCUCGGCAAAUGAUGGAGGGUGAUGUAAUGGACUUCCUCAUUGAUGAUUGGAAGCAAGAUCUCGAGAGAAAUGCUGAUUUCGCAUCUGGGAAAAGGGUAUUGCUGAGUCCAUAUUUCAUCACGGUUAUGCUUGACUGUAUGUUUUACGGUGAUGAAAAUAAAGUGUUUAAUGUGGAGAGUGCAGCGAGAGAUUUCAAGAGCUAUGUUAAAGAUAAGGAAGACUUGCUCAGUGACGACCUUAUCAUGAUGCCUCUAUUCAAGCCUAUGAUUUUAGGAAAGGAUAAGAAAGUGAACCACUAUUCCUUAUAUGUCAUGAAUCGGUACCGAAGUAGCGUUGACAUCCUUGACUCUUUACCUUAUCUGAAGAACCACCAUCCUUCAAAGUACACCUAUCAUAAAGACUGCGAGAAGAUUCCACGCAUUGUUGAUUGGAACGCUGAGGAUCUGUAUAGAGUUGUGUUCAACCGGAAUAGCCAGCUUGUGGUGAUGGAGCUUCCCAAGGAGGUUCAGACUUUGGCUCCUGAUGCAUAG